GAUGAACGCUGGCGGCGUGCCUAAUACAUGCAAGUCGAGCGAACAGACGAGGAGCUUGCUCCUCUGACGUUAGCGGCGGACGGGUGAGUAACACGUGGAUAACCUACCUAUAAGACUGGGAUAACUUCGGGAAACCGGAGCUAAUACCGGAUAAUAUAUUGAACCGCAUGGUUCAAUAGUGAAAGACGGUUUUGCUGUCACUUAUAGAUGAAUCCGCGCCGCAUUAGCUAGUUGGUAAGGUAACGGCUUACCAAGGCAACGAUGCGUAGCCGACCUGAGAGGGUGAUCGGCCACACUGGAACUGAGACACGGUCCAGACUCCUACGGGAGGCAGCAGUAGGGAAUCUUCCGCAAUGGGCGAAAGCCUGACGGAGCAACGCCGCGUGAGUGAUGAAGGUCUUCGGAUCGUAAAACUCUGUUAUUAGGGAAGAACAAAUGUGUAAGUAACUAUGCACGUCUUGACGGUACCUAAUCAGAAAGCCACGGCUAACUACGUG
rnacentral:rRNA from 1 species